rnacentral:rRNA from 1 species
AUUGAACGCUGGCGGCAGGCUUAACACAUGCAAGUCGAGCGGAGAUGAGGUGCUUGCACCUUAUCUUAGCGGCGGACGGGUGAGUAAUGCUUAGGAAUCUGCCUAUUAGUGGGGGACAACAUUCCGUAAGGAAUGCUAAUACCGCAUACGUCCUACGGGAGAAAGCAGGGGAUCUUCGGACCUUGCGCUAAUAGAUGAGCCUAAGUCGGGUUAGCUAGUUGGUGGGGUAAAGGCCUACCAAGGCGACGAGCUGUAGCGGGUAUGAGAGGAUGAUCCGCCACACUGGGACUGCGACACGGCCCAGACUCCUACGGGAGGCAGCAGUGGGGAAUAUUGGACAAUGGGGGGAACCCUGAUCCAGCCAUGCCGCGUGUGUGAAGAAGGCCUUAUGGUUGUAAAGCACUUUAAGCGAGGAGGAGGCUACUGAGACUAAUACUCUUGGAUAGUGGACGUUACUCGCAGAAUAAGCACCGGCUAACUCUGUGCCAGCCGCCGCCGUAA